rnacentral:rRNA from 1 species
ACGCUAGCGGCAGGCCUAACACAUGCAAGUCGAGGGAGGAGCCUUCGGGCUUCGACCGGCGUACGGGUGCGUAACGCGUAUACAAUCUGCCUUUCACAUAGGGAUAGCCCGAAGAAAUUUGGAUUAAUACCUAAUGGUAUAUAGGAGUGGCAUCACAUUUAUAUUAAAGCUGAGGCGGUGAAAGAUGAGUAUGCGUUCUGUUAGCUAGUUGGAGAGGUAACGGCUCCCCAAGGCGACGAUAGAUAGGGGUUCUGAGAGGGAUAUCCCCCACACUGGUACUGAGAUACGGACCAGACUCCUACGGGAGGCAGCAGUGAGGAAUAUUGGACAAUGGUCGGAAGACUGAUCCAGCCAUGCCGCGUGCAGGAAGACGGCCUUAUAGGUUGUAAACUGCUUUUGCAGGGGAAGAAUAAGGACUACGUGUAGUUUGAUGACGGUACUCUGCGAAUAAGCAUCGGCUAACUCCGUGCCAGCAGCCGCGGUAAUACGGAGGAUGCGAGCGUUAUCCGGAAUCAUUGGGUUUAAAGGGUCCGUAGGCGGGCUAAUAAGUCAGAGGUGAAAGCGCUCAGCUCAACUGAGCAACUGCCUUUGAAACUGUUAGUCUUGAAUGGUUGUGAAGUAGUUGGAAUGUGUAGUGUAGCGGUGAAAUGCUUAGAUAUUACACAGAACACCGAUAGCGAAGGCAUAUUACUAACAAUUAAUUGACGCUGAUGGACGAAAGCGUGGGGAGCGAACAGGAUUAGAUACCCUGGUAGUCCACGCUGUAAACGAUGGAUACUAGCUGUUUGGUUGUAAGACUGAGUGGCUAAGCGAAAGUGAUAAGUAUCCCACCUGGGGAGUACGCACGCAAGUGUGAAACUCAAAGGAAUUGACGGGGGCCCGCACAAGCGGUGGAGCAUGUGGUUUAAUUCGAUGAU